rnacentral:rRNA from 1 species
AGGACGAACGCUGGCGGCGUGCUUAACACAUGCAAGUCGAGCGAUGAAGCUCUUCGGAAGUGGAUUAGCGGCGGACGGGUGAGUAACACGUGGGUAACCUGCCUCAUAGAGGGGAAUAGCCUUCCGAAAGGAAGAUUAAUACCGCAUAAGAUUGUAAUAUCGCAUGAUAUAGCAAUUAAAGGAGUAAUCCGCUAUGAGAUGGACCCGCGUCGCAUUAGCUAGUUGGUGAGGUAACGGCUCACCAAGGCGACGAUGCGUAGCCGACCUGAGAGGGUGAUCGGCCACAUUGGGACUGAGACACGGCCCAGACUCCUACGGGAGGCAGCAGUGGGGAAUAUUGCACAAUGGGGGAAACCCUGAUGCAGACCAACGCCGCGUGAGUGAUGACGGUCUUCGGAUUGUAAAGCUCUGUCUUCAGGGACGAUAAUGACGGUACCUGAGGAGGAAGCCACGGCUAACUACGUGCCAGCAGCGGC